CACAACAUAAGCCAUCAAAUAUUCAAAUGUAUAGUAUUGAAGAGACAACAAUUAGAAUGUGACAAAUAAAAAGAAAAAAAAAUCUUACAUCUUCAACAAAUCCAAUAAAUAACCAAAUAUUAAAUCUGCAACAAAAACCUGGCUCAAUUUUCCGACCGUAAAUUCCUUUCGGCUUUGAUAUUUGUUCCGAUAAAGACAUUCGUCUCUGCGGUAGCUAUUCUUCGACACUACGCUACGUACUAUACACAUUGAAAACCUCAGCCAGCACAAAAUGUCUCAAUUGCCCCUUCUCUUGUCCGAAAAUUUCCUCUCAGACAGAGAGAUAUGAUAUAUGCAUACAUGCAUGCCCACAUUAUGAUAUCAUGUUCUGUUGUGUAUGGGAUCCGACCCUCGUCGAACUUUUCUCUUGCUCGAUUGAUUCGGAUCAAAGGAGCUCUCCACACGGGCCGUUUCCGAUUCCUUGUCUGUAUUUAGACCGUUCAUUUCGACUGCCUUGAGCGUACGUUGAUUCUUGAUCUGCAAAAAUCCUCCGUUUCUCGAGCCAGAAACUUCGUGUGGAUGAAAUGCUAAUAACCAUAUACAUAAUACGAGUAGUACGAAAGAUCUUCUGGUACAAAUAAACAUGUUUUUUUUUUUUUGUGUGUGUGUGUAAUAAAUAAGGAGAAUGUAGGAGAGUAGUGUAAUAAGAAUGUGAUCCUUACUAUUUUUUUC
rnacentral:lncRNA from 1 species